rnacentral:lncRNA from 1 species
GCCUGAUCUUGUGUGAUUUACUUUGUACCAACACCCCAUGACCCAGAUGACUUGGCCAAGGUCAUCAGCCAAAGCCAGGCCUCUGGGUCUAACUACCGGCAGGCUGACAAGGCAUACAGGUCAGCGGGCAAAGCAACGGAGGGAGACCCCAUACGUUCUGCUUGACCUGUUGUCUUGCUCUUUGUCCCUUCUGGGAUUUUCUCAGCUCCCACCUCUGGGUGCCUGGUCCCUAAAGCCCCUCUCAAAUGACAAUGUGGCAUCCACCCUGGGACGAUGGCGUCUCCAUGGCAGGUCUUGAAGAGCAAGAACGCCUCGGAAGAGAGAAGAGCAGACGAUACAGCAGGGGCUUGGAUGAACAUUCCCACCCACCGCUUCCUGUCUCUCAGAGGCCUGGUCAUGCUGCAUGUCUUUGGUACGGAGCUGCCAUGGUGUGUACAGGAACUUGCCAGCACCUGGCAUGCGGUUGUGAGAAGGGACUCCAUGGCUGCUAUUUUGAUGAAGGAAUGCAUAUGUGAGUAGAUGGAUGAACCCUUGAAUAGGUUUGCAAACCAGGAGUGGGGAAUGGACUGGAUCAAUUAAAUGCAUGACUAGAAAGAAAAAUGGAAGAGUAAAUAAUGAAACAGCGAAAGGACGAACCAAUGAAUAGACACAUGAAUGUCGGCAAUAAAUUCGUGGUUAGAAUAAAGGCCAAAUUCAGCUGCCAGGAAGGAAAACAAAUGUAAGAUAGCAGACACAUUAAAACCAGG